rnacentral:rRNA from 1 species
UUGCUGAAUUCGGCUUACGGGGGGCAGCAGGCGCGAAAACUUCACACUGUGCGAAAGCACGAUGAGGGAAUCCCAAGUGCUUGCUCGUAAGAGUAAGCUGUUUCUUUGUUUAAAACACAGAGAGAGUAAGGGCUGGGUAAGACGGGUGCCAGCCGCCGCGGUAAUACCUGCAGCUCGAGUGGUGACCGCUAUUAUUGGGCCUAAAACGUUCGUAGCCGGUUUAGUAAAUGCCUGGGUAAAUCGAGCCGCUUAACGGUUCGAAUUCCGGGUAGACUGCUAAACUUGAGACCGGGAGAGGCUAGAGGUACUCCUGGGGUAGAGGUGAAAUUCUGUAAUCCUGGGGGGACCACCAGUGGCGAAGGCGUCUAGCUAGAACGGGUCUGACGGUGAGGGACGAAGCCCUGGGGCGCAAACCGGAUUAGAUACCCGGGUAGUCCAGGGUGUAAACGCUGCUUGCUUGAUGUUAGUUGGGCUCUGAGCCCGAUUAGUGUCGGAGAGAAGUUGUUAAGCAAGCUGCCUGGGAAGUACGGUCGCAAGGCUGAAACUUAAAGAAU